UACGAAGGGGGCUAGCGUUGCUCGGAAUCACUGGGCGUAAAGGGUGCGUAGGCGGGUCUUUAAGUCAGGGGUGAAAUCCUGGAGCUCAACUCCAGAACUGCCUUUGAUACUGGGGAGCUCGAGUCCGGAAGAGGUGAGUGGAACUCCGAGUGUAGAGGUGAAAUUCGUAGAUAUUCGGAAGAACACCAGUGGCGAAGGCGGCUCACUGGUCCGGUACUGACGCUGAGGUGCGAAAGCGUGGGGAGCAAACAGG
rnacentral:rRNA from 1 species